rnacentral:rRNA from 1 species
CCUAUACGUUGCCUCGGCGGAUCAGCCCGCGCCCCGUAAAACGGGACGGCCCGCCCGAGGACCCCUAAACUCUGUUUUUAGUGGAACUUCUGAGUAAAACAAACAAAUAAAUCAAAACUUUCAACAACGGAUCUCUUGGUUCUGGCAUCGAUGAAGAACGCAGCAAAAUGCGAUAAGUAAUGUGAAUUGCAGAAUUCAGUGAAUCAUCGAAUCUUUGAACGCACAUUGCGCCCGCCAGUAUUCUGGCGGGCAUGCCUGUUCGAGCGUCAUUUCAACCCUCAAGCUCAGCUUGGUGUUGGGACUCGCGGUAACCCGCGUUCCCCAAAUCGAUUGGCGGUCACGUCGAGCUUCCAUAGCGUAGUAAUCAUACACCUCGUUACUGGUAAUCGUCGCGGCCACGCCGUUAAACCCCAACUUCUGAAUGUUGACCUCGGAUCAGGUAGGAAUACCCGCUGAACUUAAGCAU